UACGAAGGGGGCUAGCGUUGUUCGGAAUUACUGGGCGUAAAGGGAGCGUAGGCGGACAUCUAAGUCAGGGGUGAAAUCCCAGGGCUCAACCCUGGAAUUGCCUUUGAUACUGGACGUCUCGAGUUCGGGAGAGGUGAGUGGAAUUCCGAGUGUAGAGGUGAAAUUCGUAGAUAUUCGGAGGAACACCAGAAGCGAAGGCGGCUCACUGGCCCGAUACUGACGCUGAGGCGCGAAAGCGUGGGGAGCAAACAGG
rnacentral:rRNA from 1 species